rnacentral:rRNA from 1 species
UACGUAGGCAGCAAGCGUUGUUCGGAGUUACUGGGCGUAAAGGGUGCGUAGGUGGCUCUAUAAGUAUGGUGUGAAAUCUCCCGGCUUAACUGGGAGGGUGCGCCGUAGACUGUGGGGCUAGAGUGUGGGAGAGGAAAGUGGAAUUCCUGGUGUAGCGGUGAAAUGCGUAGAUAUCAGGAGGAACACCUGUGGUGUAGACAGCUUACUGGACCACUUCUGACGCUGAGACACGAAAGCGUGGGUAGCAAACAGG